GACGAACGCUGGCGGCGUGCCUAAUACAUGCAAGUCGAACGCAGUGGGGACGGGUGCGUAACAAGUGGGUCACCUCCCAUCAGAGGGGAUAACACUUGGAAACAGGCGCUAAACCGCUACUGAUGGAUGGACCCGCGGGGCAUUAGCUAGUGGGGGAGGUAACGGCUCACCAAGGCGACGAUGCAUAGCUGACCUGAGAGGGUGACCGGCCACACUGGGACUGAGACACGGCCCAGACUCCUACGGGAGGCAGCAGUAGGGAAUCUUGGGCAAUGGACGAAAGCCUGACCGAGCAACGCCGCGGGAGUGAAGAAGGUUUUCGGAUCGUAAAACUCUGUUGGUAGAGAAGCGGUAUCUAAACAGAAAGCCACGGCUAACUACGUGCCAGCAGCCGCGGUAAUAC
rnacentral:rRNA from 1 species